UCAGAGGAGGACGGGCCAUGGAAGGAGUUGGGACUUUCCCCCUUUUGGCCCUUGGCACCUUCAUCAGAACUUAGCCUGGGACUCCUUUCUCCGCUGACCUGGGGCAGCCAGUCUUGCAACCAAAGCCCUCUGCUGAAACGCUCCGUGCAGCCCUGUCUACUGAGGGCUCAGGAUCUUCACCUUGCUACUUGACCAGUCCUGGGACUCCAUCCUCAGCUCACUACAGGCAACACCCUUCAAAGCAAGAUCCUUGCUUCAAUGGGACCUCAGAUUUGGACAUUCAGGUUUCUGGGGCUCCACUAUGCACAGCUGGGGCUUCCCCCACCAGACCAAGAUUCUCCCUUCCCUGAGACCCUCCAGGCCGAAAUGACAGUCACCUCAACCUGACAGCUCUUCCUGAGCUUCCCAAGUCACAGGAGAGGCUUUUGGUUUUGGACCAUGAGAAUGGCUUACAUAUUCAAAAGGUUGGAUUUGGGAAGCAAUGCUAAGCAGUGGAAUGGACAUCGACAUAGAGAGAUCAGCUCCACACUUAUACUCUGCCACUCAACUUCCCCAUGUGACUUGAGGAUCACUCUAACUCCAAAACAUAGCAAGCUCGCGGAACAUCAGGGUUCAUGCAAAGUAUUCCAAGGAGCCCCUUGAAGCAACAGAAUGGAUUGCUCUUCUAUGGUGGAAUGGCACCCUGGAUGAUUAAAACCGUAGCAGCAAACAAAACCUCCAUCAAAUAUUCCUGAAAACAGAGUCAAGUUAUAUUUCUAAAGUACUAGCGUCUGCUUAAAGAAAUGACAAGGUGAAGUCUUUCACAAACCUCUAGAUUUAUGUGCCAGUCUUCAGGAAAUAUGGUGAUAGAAGAACCUGCUAAAUGAUGCUAUAAGGAUACAAUCAGCCAAAUUCUGAAUUGGAAAAUCCUACACGAAUAAUUACCCCAUUUUUUUUCAACAAAUAUAUGGCAUAGAAAAUGAGAGAAUGGUUAUAGACUGACUGAAAGACAUAUCAACCAAAUGCAACGUGUAGGCUCCUUUUGGAUUUUGAGUCAAACCAAACAACAAUAAAAAGAUAUUUGUGAAAUAAAUAUUGAAGAAAAUCAAAUAUAAAUGUACUAUUGGUGAUAUCAAGGAAUUAUUUUUAAUGUAUUGAGUGUGAUAAGGGUAUUGCGGCUAUGUGUUUCUUAAAAGACCUUGUUUAUAAAAGACACAAGCUAAAGUAUUUACCAGUGAAAUAAU
rnacentral:lncRNA from 1 species